rnacentral:misc_RNA from 1 species
ACCGACGAGGGUGACUAUCAGGUCAAGCUGAAAAACCUGAUUCGUUUCCUCGAAGGUGGCGACAAGGGCAAGGUCACCCUGCGUUUUCGCGGGCGUGAAAUGGCGCACCAGGACCUCGGCCGCAAGCUGAUGGAACGCAUUGCCUCGGAUCUCGAAGAGAUCGGGACAGUGGAAGCCUUCCCCAAGAUGGAAGGGCGCCAGAUGAUCAUGAUCAUUGCCCCCAAGAAGAAGUGAUCCGACGGCCAGUUGAACGGAUUGCCGGUCUCACGGCCGGCAAUAGGCCCCGGGUUUUCUAAAAAAUAUCGAGCGGAGUUUAUCCUCAUGCCGA